UCUGCAACUCGACUGNACGAAGCUGGAAUCGCUAGUAAUCGCGGAUCAGCACGCCGCGGUGAAUACGUUCCCGGGCCUUGUACACACCGCCCGUCACACCAUGGAAGUCUGCAAUGCCCGAAGCCGGUGGCCUAACCACUUAUGUGGAAGGAGCCGUCUAAGGCAGGGCAGAUGACUGGGGUGAAGUCGUAACAAGGUACC
rnacentral:rRNA from 1 species